rnacentral:lncRNA from 1 species
CCUCGACGUUUAACCCUCGACCUCGACUGUCGACCCUCAACCUCGACUUUUGAGUCUCGACCCUCGACACUCGACAAUUACCCAAACUCGAGUUGCAAUGGUACUAUCACUUUUGUGAUCGAUUGCUUAUAUAUAAUUUUGGGUAAUUGUCGAGGGUCAUAGGACGAUGGUCGAGACUCAAACGUCUAGGUCGAGGGUCGAGGGUUGAAAGUCGAGGUUCGAAGUCGAAAUACUAAUUGUUUUAUUAAUACUUCUAGAAUACUACAUUUUUCGCAUUUGUUGUCAAAAUUGUAAAGGUUUUCCUGGUAAUAACUUGUUGUUUGUUGCUCGUGAAAUCGAAGAUAUAGAAAUUUCAAACAACGCCCCAACCUGAUGCAGUAUUGCGCGGAUAUUUUUAAGAGAAUUUGAUCUUUUCUAGCGGAUAUUUUUAAGAGAAUUUGAUCUUCAGUUUUUAAGUGUCUCGAAUGGAACUAUGGGUUCGGGAUCGUUGUAAGGGAAUUUUCAUAUGAAGUACAGAACAAUGCCUUAUAAUUAUGUAGGCAUAAUAAGGUUCCUUUUUGUUUUUCAGAGAGUAUAAAAUUACUAUAAAAAUAUUCAAGAACGAUGUGAUUCGAAAAUAUAUUGUAUUUUAUUGUACCCAGUCAAAACGAAUUGAGUCCCAGCACAGCAAAAAACUCUCAUAAUCACUAAAACACCCAAACGCUUUAAACCUCUAACAUCAUACGCGGUAUGAGGAGUAUCUCUAAGUAGAAAUUCUGAGCAAUUUCAGAAAACAUCCGUUCUGAGCAAUUUCAGAAAACAUCCGUUGGCUCUGUCGCCACCAAGAGACAACAUAUAGUACUUAAAAUCAAAUUUUUCAUAUAUUCGGAGAAGCGAAACGCCAUUUUUGUAUAAUCGCCCAUGUGUUUAUUACAUCCAAUGUAAAAUAAAAGAUAUAUAUUUUCAAACAUCAAACCUCGCAUCAGACUUUUAAUCACACAAGCGAAACUUUCAGAUAUACAUAUAUAGGCAAAAUCUUUCAGUUUUGACCGUCAAACUAGUGUUUUCUCGCGUUUUAUAGAAGUUUGCAACAUGGAGGUAAAAUUUUAAAAUUGAUAAAAAUUUAGUAUUUUCGACUUUCGAACCUCGCCUUUCGAGCCUCGACCUCCACUUUUGAGUCCCGACGCUCGACCUGUCACCAC